rnacentral:lncRNA from 1 species
UUUUCAAUUUGGAAGUCUCCGGUUAGGAAAGGCUUUCCAGGAUGAAGGACAGCACCGGGGCUCUCAGCAGCGGCUUGCGUGUUGAUGGCGUGUGCACGGCCGAGGACGCCCUCGCCGUUUCUGAGCCUUUCAGUUCCAAGCACAGCCCAAAUCAUGUCCCAAAUAUUUGAUCCAUUUUUUAAAAAGAGAACCCAAGUACACGUCAGAUAAAAUUAAAGGCAGCUCUUCAGUACAUCGACUUCAUUUACAUUCCGGUUUUGUUUCGUUCUUCUGGUUGGUUCGUGAUCUUGCUGGCUUCAGCAGCGAAGCUACAGACCUUCACGAUGAGUGUCACAGCUCUUAAGGUGGCGCGUCUGGAGUCGUUCAUCCCUCCUGGUGGAUUCGUGGUCUCGCUGGCCUCAGAAAUGACGCUGCAGACCUUCU